rnacentral:misc_RNA from 1 species
UCCGGUUUGGCACCGGCAGUCUCCAAUGAGUCCCCGGCAUUACCCGCUGGCAACAUUGGACAGGGGUUGCGCUCGUUGCGCCACUUAAGGCAACACCUCACGACACGAGCUGACGACAGCCAUGCAGCAUCUGUGGUGCACCCUCGAAGGUCACACGUUUCCGUGCGCUUGCAGCACCAUGUCAAGCCCAGGUAAGGUUCUUCGCGUUGCAUCGAAUUAAGCCACAUCCUCCACCGCUUGUGUGAGCCCCCGUCAAUUCCUUUGAGUUUUAGCCUUGCGGCCGUACUCCCCAGGCGGGGCACUUAAUGCGUUAGCUACGGCACGGAACCCGUUGAAUAGGUCCCACACCUAGUGCCCAACGUUUACGGCGUGGACUAC